GUUCUUGCUGUGCGCCCUGCGUUUUUAGUAAAUUACACAAACCACCACAUUAGUGGUUAGGGUUACAGGUUGGUACCGGUCUAUGUUUUAUUUACUAAAAACCACCGGAUUACACUAAUCAUCCAAUUGCUAACGAAUAACUCCAAAACUGACGAGGUGGGUCACCGGUCAGGCCAAUGCCGUGCGAGCCUGGCAACUGACUUAACCAUCUCUUCUUCCUCCUUCUCUGUUCCCGAUACAGCAGCAGCAAUGACGUCCAUCUCCUGCUUCCUCCACAAGUCCACGGCCCGGCUCGCCAUGUCCUCUGCCUAUCCCGCCCCGCCCUCCUCUGCCCACCCCAGCUCCUCUGUCUGCCCGCCCUGACGCCAACUCCCCUGCCCGCCCCGCCACCGCCCACCACGCCGCGCCGUGCCCUCUUCUCUGUCCGCAACCACCCGCCCCGCCUCGCCAGCUCCUCUUCCCGGCCCGUCCCUCCCCGGCACCGCCCGCUCUGCCUCUCCCUCCUCGCCGGCGGCGCCGCGGCCGCCUCCGCGCGCCUGACUCCCACCGCGACCUCCAAUCUUCGUGUGCCCGCUGCGCUCCAGGCCGCCGGUUAUCUCUAGCACCUGCAGCGGUGGCUUUGCGCAGGCGCUGCUCCAGCUCCAGGCCGCAUGUCGAGCAGGUGGCGGGCAUCGAUGCAGCGCAUCUAUGUUGAGGAGCGCAUCACCGGCCACAUGUUCAGUGAGCUCGAUGAAGACAUCGGAGAUGGUCGUGGACGAUGUCGGUCUCGCCAUUGAGGUCGAUGCGUUGCUUGACGAGGGUCACCGCCAUGGCGCCAUCGCUGCUUGGAUGGACUCGAAAAUCUCCUGCGCAAGUGGUGUGAGGGCCGCCAUGAUUUCAGCUCGACGGGAUCUUGUUCUUCACCAGCACUGCAUGGGAGAAGAGAAGGAGGGACUACUCACGUGGCGCCAAGUAGGACCUGACAGGUGGGCCUAUCAUGUCAGUUAUGGCCUUAGGUGCUAACGAUUUGCUGUGUAGUUCGAUUAGUACAGAACCGGUGGUUUUUAGUAAACAAAACGUAGACUGGUACCGAAUUGAAAUCCUAGCCACUAAUGUGGUGGUUUUCUGUAAUUUACUCUGCGUUUUUUUUUACGGAAAUUAUUGUGUUUUCCUGGCC